rnacentral:rRNA from 1 species
GUAGGUGGCAAGCGUUGUCCGGAAUUAUUGGGCGUAAAGCGCGCGCAGGCGGUUCUUUAAGUCUGAUGUGAAAGCCCACGGCUCAACCGUGGAGGGUCAUUGGAAACUGGAGAACUUGUGUACAGAAGAGGAAAGCGGAAUUCCACGUGUAGCGGUGAAAUGCGUAGAGAUGUGGAGGAACACCAGUGGCGAAGGCGGCUUUCUGGUCUGUAACUGACGCUGAGGCGCGAAAGCGUGGGGAGCAAACAGGAUUAGAUACCCUGGUAGUCCACGCCGUAAACGAUGAGUGCUAAGUGUUAGGGGGGUUUUCCGCCCCCCUUAGUGCUGCAGCUAACGCAUUAAGCACUCCGCCUGGGAGUACGGCCGCAAGGCUG